CGACUCUCGGCAACGGAUAUCUCGGCUCUCGCAUCGAUGAAGAACGUAGCGAAAUGCGAUACUUGGUGUGAAUUGCAGAAUCCCGUGAACCAUCGAGUCUUUGAACGCAAGUUGCGCCCGAAGCCGUCAGGCNGAGGGCACGCCUGCCUGGGCGUCACG
rnacentral:rRNA from 1 species